GAUGAACGCUGGCGGCGUGCUUAACACAUGCAAGUCGAACGGAAAGGCUCCUGCUUUCAGUGUUUCUCGAGUGGCGAACGGGUGAGUAACACGUGGGUGAUCUGCCCUUCACUUCGGGAUAAGCCUUGGAAACUGGGUCUAAUACCGGAUAUGACGAUGUUUUGGAUGCCAUUGUGGAAAGUUUUUCGGUGUGGGAUUAGCUCGUGGCCUAUCAGCUUGUUGGUGGGGUAAUGGAUUACGAAGGCGUCGACGGGUAGCCGGCCUGAGAGGGUGUACGGCCACAUGGGGACUGAGAUACGGACCAGAAUCGUACGGGAGGCAGCAGGGGGGAGUAUUACGGAAUGGGGGCAAGUGUGAUGCAGAGACGCCGGGUGGGGGAUGACGGGCUUCGGGGGGUAAACACAUUUCGACAGAGACGAAGCGUUUUGUGACGGUACCUGGAGAAGAAGCACCGGCUAACUACGU
rnacentral:rRNA from 1 species